rnacentral:rRNA from 1 species
AGUCGACGCCCCGCAUGGGGAGUGGCAGACGGGUGAGUAACGCGUGGUAACAUACCCUUUCCUGCGGAAUAGCUCCGGGAAACUGGAAUUAAUACCGCAUACGCCCUACGGGGGAAAGAUUUAUCGGGGAAGGAUUGGCCCGCGUUGGAUUAGCUAGUUGGUGGGGUAAAGGCCUACCAAGGCGACGAUCCAUAGCUGGUCUGAGAGGAUGAUCAGCCACAUUGGGACUGAGACACGGCCCAAACUCCUACGGGAGGCAGCAGUGGGGAAUAUUGGACAAUGGGCGCAAGCCUGAUCCAGCCAUGCCGCGUGAGUGAUGAAGGCCUUAGGGUUGUAAAGCUCUUUCACCGGAGAAGAUAAUGACGGUAUCCGGAGAAGAAGCCCCGGCUAACUUCGUGCCAGCAGCCGCGGUAAUACGAAGGGGGCUAGCGUUGUUCGGAAUUACUGGGCGUAAAGCGCACGUAGGCGGAUAUUUAAGUCAGGGGUGAAAUCCCAGAGCUCAACUCUGGAACUGCCUUUGAUACUGGGUAUCUUGAGUAUGGAAGAGGUAAGUGGAAUUCCGAGUGUAGAGGUGACAUUCGUAGAUAUGCGGAGGAACACCAGUGGCGAAGGCGGCUUACUGGUCCAUUACUGACGCUGAGGUGCGAAAGCGGGGG